UAUUAUUUUAGAUGUAAAAUAUUUAAACUUGAGUAGUAUUAGUUAAGAUCUUGAAACUUAAAGAAUUUGGCGGUAUUUUAGUCUAUUUAGAGGAAUCUGUCCCAUAAUCGAUAAUCCGCGUUGGACCUUACUUAAUUUAAUAAUAUGUAUACCGCUGUUGAUAGAAAUCUUUUAAGAGUAAAUUUUUUUAAUAUUUAUUAGAUAAAUUUUCAGGUCAAGGUGCAGUUGAUGGUUAAGUGGAGAUGGAUUACAAUAUUAAUUUAAUAUAUGAAUUGUUACUUGAAAUCAGUAAUUUGAAGGUGGAUUUAAUAGUAAUAUUAUGAAGAUUGUUAAUGUGAUUUUAGCUCUAGAAUAUGCACACAUCGCCCGUCGCUCUCGUUAUGUUUAAGGUGAG
rnacentral:rRNA from 1 species